UUUAAUACCGUAUACGCCCUUCGGGGGAAAGAAUUUCGGUGAGGGAUCGGCCCGCGUUAGAUUAGUUAGUUGGUGGGGUAAUGGCCUACCAAGACUACGAUCUAUAGCUGGUUUGAGAGGAUGAUCAGCAACACUGGGACUGAGACACGGCCCAGACUCCUACGGGAGGCAGCAGUGGGGAAUCUUAGACAAUGGGGGCAACCCUGAUCUAGCGAUGCCGCGUGAGUGAUGAAGGCCUUAGGGUCGUAAAGCUCUUUCGCCUGUGAUGAUAAUGACAGUAGCAGGUAAAGAAACCCCGGCUAACUCCGUGCCAGCAGCCGCGGUAAUACGGAGGGGGUUAGCGUUGUUCGGAAUUACUGGGCGUAAAGCGCACGUAGGCGGAUUAGUCAGUCAGAGGUGAAAUCCCAGGGCUCAACCCUGGAACUGCCUUUGAUACUGCUAGUCUUGAGUUCGAGAGAGGUAAGUGGAAUUCCGAGUGUAGAGGUGAAAUUCGUAGAUAUUCGGAGGAACACCAGUGGCGAAGGCGGCUUACUGGCUCGAUACUGACGCUGAGGUGCGAAAGUGUGGGGAGCAAACAGGAUUAGAUACCCUGGUAGUCCACACCGUAAACGAUGAAUGCCAGUCGUCGGGUAGCAUGCUAUUCGGUGACACACCUAACGGAUUAAGCAUUCCGCCUGGGGAGUACGGUCGC
rnacentral:rRNA from 1 species